rnacentral:lncRNA from 1 species
GGCGCAAAUCGACGAACCCUAGUAGCAAUCGUUCCCCAAAUCACCAAUACAGAGGCUGAGUUCGUGAAGAGUUCUGCGGCAUAAACCGACGAACCCUAGAAGCAAUCAUUCCCCAAAUCACCAAUACAUCGGAAGAUUUCGUGAAGAGUUCUGCGAUUUGGGCGAAAACAAAUUAACCCUAGAAGCAAUCAUUCCCCAAAUCACCAAGGUUAGCACAUGUAAUACUCAGAUCUACGUUCCCCAAAUUCACGUGUGUUCAUACUGAUUUUACACAAAAGUCAAACUCAUAUAGAAGGAAAACCUGGAAAGCAUCUUCUAAUUAGAAUACAACUUUCAAAAACAGAAGACUUUGGCAAUAAGAAAACCUGAAGCAUCAUAAAAAGUUGAUCCAUUUGGUAAAAGAUAAAAAAGGCUCUGCAACCGUGGUGGGUGGGGCUGUAAUUCUCAAAAGUGAGAGGAGAGGGAAUGGAAAAGAUUGUGAGCUGUUGCCCUUCCUACUAGUAACCUUAUUCUCAAAAAUAAGUAAAGUUGAUUUACUUAUUUUACUUACCGUCCGCUGAUAUGUCUAGCGUACGCUGCACUUACUGCUUUCAGUUCAAUAUUUGGUCUAUUGGAGGAGGGGGCAUAAACGUCCGAUAAUUAUACUAAUUACGUCCGCUAGUUUUACUAGCGGACGGUGGUUAGUCAAAUCUGAUUUGAGCCUUUCAUCAACAAAACGGACGGUGAAGAGCCUAUAUGCCACUUUUUAUCCCAUAGCAUAUAGAUGCUAUGGAUCGCUCCCUAUAUAUAUAUAUAGAAAGGAUCAAGAGCAUACCAUUUAUCCAACAUACUUUGCAUAUCCCUUUACCGACGGAUCGGUCUGUCGCUAUAAAUUCGGUCCGUCGCUAAAAAUUAAGAUGACGGUUCUAUAUACAACGACAGACUGAUUGAAUAAGGGGUAAGCUUAAGAUCCAGACUAUAUAUAUAUAUAUAUAUAUAUAUACGGUAAGACCGAUCCGUCGGUAAAGGGGAAUGCAAAGUAUGUUGGAUAAAUGGUAUGUUCUUGAUCAUUUCUAUAUAUAUAUAUAUAUAUAUAUAUAUAGGUUAUAUGUAUAUAUUCAACUGUGUAGUACACAUUCGUGUUAUGACGACGGUUUUUUUGAACUAUGGCGACAGUUAUAAUUGUGUAUAUGCUCUUGAUCCUUUGCUCUAUAGAUAUAGAUAUAUGGAUGUAUGUUACGUGUGUCUCAUUCUGAGCCCACAUGCAUAUUUGACUACUCCAAUAAUUUCAGUACACUGCUGAUUGUAAUUAGUUAGUUUUUUAUAUUAAAGAUCCUAAUUACUAAUAAACUUAUAAGCCUUUUCCAUCAUUGUUAAAUUGAUAAACAAUUGAGAUAUACUUCUCUUACAGAAGAUCACACUCAAUAGAAAGCAAAAGCAAAGUCAUGUUCCUCUAAAUAAUAGAAACAACAUAAUUUAGUUACACUGCCCUGCACCUGCGUACAUGUGUGUUGUUUACUAAUGAAUAAUGCCACUACAAACAUCUAUCCCACAAAUAUCAAAUUACAAUCCCUUCAAUUAUAUUUAUCCUCCAAUUUUCCUCAAGACAUAUUUAGCCACGUUACAACAACACAAUUAUUUGUAUUCCGUUAAUUUUUUGCGACGAAUAUUAUUAUAUUGUUACAAGCAGGGGCGGAUAUGUUAAGGUGGCAGCAUAGGCAGUUACCCCGGCAUAGGCACCAUAUGAUAUAAAUAUUAUUGUAUUGUGAAUAAUAAGGUGUUAAUUUGAUAUAAUACUUUGGUUAUGGGUGAAAUGUGCAAAUUUUACAAAAUAAGCAAGUGGUUAUAAAAUAUUCAUUGUUGUCGGAGAAUAUUCGUUUGGUCGUGGAAUAUUCUUACUGUCGAGGAAUAUUCGUACGUUGGCGCAACCAUUUGUGGGCCCAUAACAGAAAAAGGUCGGAUGAAAAAAACGACAAAUUUGAGUUUUUAUAAAUAACGACGUAAUGGUUAUCGUUAACACUGUUGGAAUACCCGGUGGUUAAAAUACAGUAAUACGCGUGGUUGCACAGUAGCACACGGUAUUGCAUAAUAUUUUUGAAUUAUUGAUUCUUACGUAACAAGGCACUACUCAAUAAUUGUUACAGUAAUUACUGUUCAAUAUUUUAUUUUAUUGAUUCAAUAAUUACUACGUUGAUAUUUUAUAUUAUUGUUGUUUCAAUAAUUGUCACUGCAUAGUAUUUCUCAUUAUGAGAUCAAUAAUUCAUAUUAUUUGAAUAAUAUUAUUAGAUAGCAUUAUUGACAAUGCAUUAUUAUUAUUAUUAUUAUUAUUAUUAUUAUUUAAAGAUAAUAAAUUUUACUACUCCACUUUGUUUAAAGAUAACAAAGAAGAGAAGUGUGACGCUCCCAAAAUAGAUAUACAUCACCCAUCUUGAGUCGCCAAAUACAUGGUAUAAAAUUCAAAUACAACUUAAUAAUACAACUGUCGUGUAAAAUACGACAAAACAUAAGCUAUGAGUUUUAAUACAAAUAUUGUCAUCUAGACAAUAUCCACACUCAAUGGAGUCCUCAUUAUAUUUAUUAUCACACUAUUUCAUAGAAUAGUGAGGACUAUUAUUGCUAUUAUCUGGACCGUCACUCCGUUCCCCGACUAGUCCCAGCUACGUUCUCAUUUCCUGAAGAGAAAAAUGAAAGCAAAAAGGUGAGCUCAACUAGCCUAGUAAGAAAUAUUAUGACUAAGAUAAUGCAGAAUAAUUUAUCAUUAGCCUUCAACAGUGUUAAACUGAUAAAAUAUAACAAACAUCAAGUUUAACUGCAGCGGAACAAGCAAUCCAUUAGAAGAGUCAAGUAGAGCAUAAAGUCUACUAUCUUCUAUGAUUUAAAAGGUUUUUCAUCACUUUUAUCGCUGAGACUCAGCUUAAUAAAUAAACCACAUCAUCCCUGCACUACGGCUAAGGAUAUUCAUUAGUAUCACGACCACAAAUUUUCCAUGCACUACGUGCUAAGGAUAUUCGUGUAUUCAUCAAUGGUCAUGAUCAUGCCAACAACUAUCCAUCAAUGCACUACGGCCAAGGAGGACUUUUACCACAUCAUUUGUAAUAUUACGGUCAUGAUUAUACCGAAUAAUCCCUGGUCAUAAUCAUACCAAGUUCAUCUAUGCACUACAUGUCACAGAUGACUUUCAACAUAUUAUAAACAUGAGGAUGAUGACAAUGAUAUAAGAAUUCAAUAAAAUAAGUUCAAGAAUUAAUUUGUCCAGGAACCAAUAACGUUCAAAUUGUCAACAUGAUACUGCUUUGUGGGAUAAAACUCAAGAAUGCUCAAAAGAAUAUUUCCAUGAAAAGAUAUUGGAUGAAGCGCAAAUAUCAAGGAUAUUCCAUUAAUUUCAUGGAGUAUAAAAGCCAAAAAUUUAACCAACUGAGCAUAAUAAAGAAUGGAAUAACAAAAGAAAUCACCAGGCAUGCGAUAGACCGCACAGACAGGUUAUUCCAACAGAAUAAUAAAUAACGGACAGGUCAUGCGUAAACGCACACACAGGAUAUUCCAAUAGAAUAAUAAUUAACGGAACCAGGUCAUGCGUAAAGCACAGACAGGAUGUUCCAACAGAAUGAUAAAUAAUAGAAUCAGGUCAUGCGUAAAGCACAGACAGGAUGUUCCAACAGAAUGAUAAAGAAUGGAAUAAUAGAAAAUUUUCACCAAGUAUAGGGUAGUCCGCGUAUACAGGUUAUUCCAACAGAAUAAUUGAUGAUUGGGUAAUAUACCCAUAAAUCGGGUAUGUUUGAUCUUAAAUUAAUGUAUGUUUAAAGCAUUUUAAGUCAUUUUAUUUGUUUAAGUUGUGUUGUUGCAGGAUUGUGAGUUGUUGGAACAUUUGGGGCAUAGGAGCUUAAAUAGGGCUUAAGGAUCAUUCACUGCAU